rnacentral:rRNA from 1 species
AAGCUCGUAGUUGAAUUUCGGGCCUGGCUGGACGGUCCGCCCUUCGGGUGUGUACUGUCUGUGGUCGGGUCCUACCUUCUGGCGAAGCGUCAUGGCCUUAACCGGCCGUGGCGGGGAACCAGGACUUUUACUGUGAAAAAAUUAGAGUGUUCAAAGCAGGCAAUCGCUUGGAUACAUUAGCAUGGAAUAAUGGAAUAGGACAAUGGUUCUAUUUGUUGGUCUCUAGGACCGUUGUAAUGAUUAAUAGGGAUAGUUGGGGGCAUUAGUAUUCAAUUGUCAGAGGUGAAAUUCUUGGAUUUAUUGAAGACUAACUACUGCGAAAGCAUUUGCCAAGGAUGUUUUCAUUAAUCAAGAACGAAAGUUAGGGGAUCGAAGACGAUCAGAUACCGUCGUAGUCUUAACCAUAAACUAUGCCGACUAGGGAUCGGAUGAUGUUAAUUUUUUAAUGACUCAUUCGGCGCCUUACGGGAAACCAAAGUGUUUGGGUUCCGGGGGGAGUAUGGUCGCAAGGCUGAAACUUAAAGGAAUUGACGGAAGGGCACCACCAGGGGUGGAGCCUGCGGCUUAAUUUGACUCAACACGGGGAAACUCACCAGGUCCAGACAUAGUAAGGAUUGACAGAUUGAGAGCUCUUUCUUGAUUCUAUGGGUG